GGAGAGAUGUCCGAGCGGUCGAAGGAGACGGACUCGAAAUCCGUUGUACGGCUCGUCCGUACCGUGGGUUCGAAUCCCACUCUCUCCG
rnacentral:tRNA from 1 species